GAUGAACGCUAGCGGCAGGCCUAAUACAUGCAAGUCGAACGGGUGGUCGCAAGACCACUAGUGGCGCACGGGUGCGUAACGCGUAACCAACCUGCCCCGAUCUGGGGGAUAGCCCGCCGAAAGGCGGAUUAAUACCGCAUAUACCCGCAGCCUGGCAUCAGGCAACGGGGAAAGAUUUAUUGGAUCGGGAUGGGGUUGCGUGACAUUAGCUAGUUGGCGGGGUAAGGGCCCACCAAGGCGACGAUGUCUAGGGGACCUGAGAGGGUGAUCCCCCACACUGGCACUGAGAUACGGGCCAGACUCCUACGGGAGGCAGCAGUAGGGAAUAUUAGGCAAUGGGCGAGAGCCUGACCCAGCCAUGCCGCGUGCCGGAUGAAGGCCUUCUGGGUUGUAAACGGCUUUUCUCAGGGAAGAAAAAGACCUUGCGAGGUACACUGACGGUACCUGAGGAAUAAGCACCGGCUAACUCCGUG
rnacentral:rRNA from 1 species